rnacentral:rRNA from 1 species
ACGCACGCUGGCGGCGUGCUUAACACCUGCCAGUCGAGCGGAAAGGCCACUUCGGUGGUCCUCGAGCGGCGAACGGGUGAGUAACACGUGAGUAAUCUGCCCCUCACUUUGGGAUAGCCACCGGAAACGGUGAUUAAUACCGGAUAUGACCAUAUGUCGCAUGGCGUGUGGUGGAAAGUUUUUCGGUGAGGGAUGUGCUCGCGGCCUAUCAGCUUGAUGGUGAGGUAAUGGCUCACCAUGGCUUCGACGGGUAGCCGGCCUGAGAGGGUGACCGGUCACACUGGGACUGAGACACGGCCCAGACUCCUACGGGAGGCAGCAGUGGGGAAUAUUGGACAAUGGGCGGAAGCCUGAUCCAGCAACGCCGCGUGAGGGAUGACGGCCUUCGGGUUGUAAACCUCUUUCAGUACCGACGAAGCGCAAGUGACGGUAGGUACAGAAGAAGCACCGGCCAACUACGUG